AGCGAACGCUGGCGGCAGGCUUAACACAUGCAAGUCGAGCGGGCAUCUUCGGGUGUCAGCGGCGGACGGGUGAGUAACGCGCGGGAACGUGCCUUCUGGUUCGGAAUAACUCAGGGAAACUUGAGCUAAUACCGGAUACGCCCUUUUGGGGAAAGGUUUACUGCCGGAAGAUCGGCCCGCGUCUGAUUAGCUGGUUGGUGGGGUAACGGCCUACCAAGGCGACGAUCAGUAGCUGGUCUGAGAGGAUGAUCAGCCACACUGGGACUGAGACACGGCCCAGACUCCUACGGGAGGCAGCAGUGGGGAAGAUUGGACAGUGGGGGCAACCCUGAUCCAGCCAUGCCGCGUGAGUGAUGAAGGCCUUAGGGUUGUAAAGCUCUUUUAUCCGGGACGAUAAUGACGGUACCGGAGGAAUAAGCCCCGGCUAACUUCGUGCCAGCCGCCGCGGUAA
rnacentral:rRNA from 1 species